GGGUCAGUAGGUUGGUCGUGCCACCGGUACGUACUGGUCUCACUGAUUCCUCCUUCCCGAAGAACCGUAAUGCCAUUAAUUUGGUGUUGCGGGGAAUCAGGACUGUUACUUUGAAAAAAUUAGAGUGUUUAAAGCAAGCUAACGCUUGAAUACAUUAGCAUGGAAUAAUGAAAUAGGACGAUCGAUCCUAUUUUGUUGGUUUCUAGGAUUGACGUA
rnacentral:rRNA from 1 species